UGAAUUUAAGCAUAUCACUAAGCGGAGGAAAAGAAACUAACAAGGAUUCCCCUAGUAGCGGCGAGCGAAGAGGGAAAAGCCCAGCACCGAACCUCGCGCCCUCGGGUGUCGCGGAAUGUGGUGUUCAGGAGGACCGUGCGCGUCUGUCCGGUAUCGUCCAAGUCUCCAUGAAUGGGGCCAGCAACCCAGAGAGGGUGUCAGGCCCGUGGUGACGAGCCGCGACCGUGCAUUGGGUCUCUCCUUAGAGUCGGGUUGCUUGAGAGUGCAGCCCUAAGCGGGAGGUAAACUCCUUCUAAGGCUAAAUACGGCCACGAGACCGAUAGCAAACAAGUACCGCGAGGGAAAGUUGAAAAGAACUUUGAAGAGAGAGUUCAAGAGUGCGUGAAACCGUUCAGGGGGUUAAACGGGUGGGCCCUCGAAGGUCGAACGGUCCCCAUCACGGCUCUCGCGGGUCGGUCCGUGACGUGCGUGAUUCCUCUCGGAACACCUCGUCGCGGUUCUCCGGUUCGCGGGGGCUGUUAUCUGGGGGCCCAGUAGGACUCCGCAACCGGCUGGCGGGCCGUCAGAAGGGUUCUGGAGGAAGCCUCCUCGCGGGGUGGAUUCCGGGAUUUCCGGACGGUCCCGUCGGCCGUGAACCGAAAUUUCUCUCCUCACGGGGAGAAUAYAGCGGAGAGUAGUGUCGGGUCCCACCCGACCCGUCUUGAAACACGGACCAAGGAGUCUAACAUGUGCGCGAGUCGUCGGGUACUACAAAACCCGAAGGCGCAAUGAAAGUGAAGGCCACCCUCGUUGGCGGCUGAGGGGAGAUCCCGUUCUGCUCCGGUAGCUCGGGCGCAUCCCCGGGGCGUCGAAGCCGCGUUGCCGGCUAGACGCACCAAGAGCGUACACGUUGGGACCCGAAAGAUGGUGACCUAUGCCUGACCAGGACGAAGCCAGGGGAAACCCUGGUGGAGGUCCGCAGCGAUUCUGACGUGCAAAUCGAUCGUCUGAGUUGGGUAUAGGGGCGAAAGACUAAUCGAACCAUCUAGUAGCUGGUUCCCCCCGAAGUUCCCUCAGA
rnacentral:rRNA from 1 species